rnacentral:miRNA from 1 species
CUAUAGCAGGAGAUCAGAUUGGAC